AGACCGGAAUCAAGACAAGAAAAGAAAAGAAGAGAAAACAAAACAACAAAGAAAAGGAAAGGGGAAAAAAAAACAGGAAAAAAAAGAAGAUUGUACAAACCCCAAAGAAAAAGGACCAAGGAGAAAACACUGUUAGUCAAGAGGGGGAAGGAGAGAGGGGAUGAACUUUGUAAAAAUAAACGCCGCUGAUCGGACUGGGCCCGGUCCCCUGGUGGUGGUUUCGGUAGUCUUAUAUAUUUACUUUUUUUUUUUUUUUAAUAACAAUUGGUUUUUUCUCCAAAUUUCUAUCCUUUUUUUUCUUUUUUGGUCUUGACCACUUUUAUCUACUUUCAAUUGGAUUAAGUUUGCGGUGUCUACGGGCGGGAGCGGACAUAGGGGACUUUUAUUUUUACUCUUUUAUCGAGCCCCAACUUAUAUCUAUCUGUCCCUAUCUACUAUCUAGCGAAACCACAGCCAAGGGAACGGGCUUGGAAAAAUCAGCGGGGAAAGAAGACCCUGUUGAGCUUGACUCUAGUCUGACUCUGUGAAGAGACAUGAGAGGUGUAGCAUAAGUGGGAGGCCGUGAACCCUCGUGGUUGCGUUGUGCCGACAAUGAAAUACCACUACUUUCAUCGUUUCUUUACUUACUCGGUGAAGCGGAAAGUGAACCAUGACUGUCCACGCUUCUAGCACUAAGUGCAAGGCCCUUCGUUGGCUCGCACGAUCUGUUCCGAGGACAGUGUCAGGCGGGGAGUUUGACUGGGGCGGUACAUCUGUCAAAUGGUAACGCAGGUGUCCUAAGGCGAGCUCAGCGAGGACAGAAACCUCGCGUAGAGCAAAAGGACAAAUGCUUGCUUGAUCUUGAUUUUGAGUACGAUUACAGACCGCGAAAGCGGGGCCCCUCGAUCCUUUUGACUUUAAGAGUUUUAAGCAAGAGGUGUCAGAAAAGUUACCACAGGGAUAAUUGGCUUGUGGCGGCCAUUGCGAAGCAGAAUUCGCCAAGCGUUGGAUUUUUCACCCAAUAAUAGGGAACGUGAGCUGGGUUUAGACCGUCGUGAGACAGGUUAGUUUUACCCUACUGAUGACUGGUCAUUGAGAUAGUAAUCCUGCUCAGUACGAGUGGAACUGCAGGUUCGGACACUUGGUUCAUGUGCUUGGUCGAGAGACCAGUGGUGCGAAGCUACCGUCCGUGGGAUUACGACUGAACGCCUCUUAGUCAGAAUCCCGUCUAAGCAGUGCAAUGAUAUCGUGCGCACUUGCAGCGUUUACAGGUGACGUUAGAGUUUCUCGGGUCGAUCGCGGCGGGCCGCCGCGAUUCCCGGCUCGACGACGCCACGUGGACGGGGGGGCAUUAGUCGUUCGCCGAGGUAACGGUGCGAGCGACGCUCCCAUGCACUCGUUUUUGGUGUGAACCGCUGCGGUGUCAAACCGUCUGUAGACGACUUAGGUUCCUGUCGCGGUGUCGUAAUUAGUAGAGCAGCCACCACACUGCGAUCUAUUGAGGCUCAUCCAGUGACCGGGAGGUUUGU
rnacentral:rRNA from 1 species